AUGAUGAAAUGGACGCAUGCUGCAGGAGCAGCAGAGACGUUGUGUGAGCCUUGGGUUCUUCAUCGAUUCGUUCGUGCAUGCCCUUGGUCACAUGAACACCUCAGGGCCAGGAGAGCAGCGUCAGUUGGAUCCAGGAGGAGCACCAUUGUGGGAUCCGCUGCGGCCAAUGAGGCUCAAAAAGAUACAGUGGUUACCAACGGUGACGACGACGACGAAGACUGGCCCAGCAUCUGGGACAGUGGAUGCGUUGAGCUUGAGAUGAAGAUCGGCCACUCCAUCCACGAUCACUGUUCUCCCCUUCUUUUUGUGGAGACGAUUUCAGUAUUCUUUAUCAAUGAUCUUUAG
rnacentral:rRNA from 1 species